CUCUUUGCUUGCUACAUCUCUCACACUCUCUGUUGCAGAUCUAUACGAAGAUGAAAACUGAUUUUGAAGUUUUUUGUUUUCCAGGUUGUAGAUCUAUAUGAAGAUGAUAAAAAUGAUUUUAAAGUGUAAGUAACAACAUAUAAGUUUUCUCUGUUCCAUAAUUUUCACUUCUUUUAUUUUACAUGUUGUAGAUCUAUCAAAACAAAGACGAAUCCGGGUACUAAAACAACAACGACAAUAUGUGAGACAAUAUAAAUUCUGGUUCUACAUCUUCUAAUAGGAAAACAAAAAGUUAAACAUAUGGAC